rnacentral:rRNA from 1 species
AUACGGAGGGUGCAAGCGUUAUUCGGAAUUAUUGGGCGUAAAGAGCGCGUAGGCGGCCUCUUAAGUCAGAUGUGAAAGCCCGGGGCUUAACCCCGGAAGUGCAUUUGAAACUAAGUGGCUUGAGUAUGGGAGAGGGAAGUGGAAUUCCUGGUGUAGAGGUGAAAUUCGUAGAUAUCGGGAGGAAUACCGGUGGCGAAGGCGACUUUCUGGACGAAUACUGACGCUGAUGCGCGAAAGCGUGGGGAGC